CUGGCAAUCAUUGCAUUCAAUUAAUGCCAUUAAGGUUCUACACGUUCUAGCAAACAUCGGUGCACAGUGACUGACAACAACGCUGCUUAGACUAGUACCCAAAAAAAUGUACAAUUCUAUUCUUCUGCCUGCAGCGAAGGACUACCCGUUAGAAUAAGGUUUUAACCACUCUAUCUGACAGAGGGAGCUGUUCCAAGUGCUCGCACCACUUUACUAAACGGAGAAGAUCCAUUAAAGGUGUGGGUAUUUCCAAAGAGCGCAGACGUGUGACUGCUGCAAGCCUAUUUCGGAGAAGCUUGCGAACGAAAGAAUGAAACACAAUCGGAAAGCGUAAGCCUUAAUCCUGGAGAAAUCGGCACAAUUUACAAUAACAUUCUUAAAAUAUAUUCUCCUGACGUGUGGACAUGAUGAAAUGCACCUCUACAAUGGAAUUGUAGCUGUAAACAUCUUUCUGCAAAUCACUUCUAAAAUAGAAUAAAUCAGUCACGUGAGAUGGUCGAAAGAACAGCAUAGAAGGCAAUCUGAACCUCCAGUGAUGCAUAGAGGCAUGAUACAUUAUUACAGUUCUAUUUUCCACUAAUGAAUUUAUUCUUUUUUGCUUUGAUUUUUUUUCUUAUGAGCCUUUUAAAUCUCAUAUUCUUUCUGCUGUGUGUUUAUAAUGUACUUAACAUUUUAAAACUGACCCCCAGAUUUUGUCAUUUAUUAUCUGUAAAUUAUUAACUUCUGUUUUUGUAUUUGUCAGAAUGUCUCAAGCACUGUACUUCAUGAUGAAACUUUCUAAUUGGUUUUAUUUUGUCUUUAUAUUCUCCCAGGAUGUGUUUAAAAUCAGGCAUAUGUGUGUUGUGGCACAUCUUAAUGAGUAAAAAUAGAAGCGGAGAAGUUAGGGGUGGUAAUUGGAAUAGAGUAUUCUACAGCUGACCAGACCAGAAGAAGGAAGAAGAAAUUUACAAAAAGAAAAUUAGCCUGAAAAUUCUAAUACCAAUGUUUGUGUGAUUAACUGCAACAUGAUCUCGCCUUUCCCUUCUCAGGGAAACGUUAGUAAGUUAGAUCACUAAUAUCCCAAGGAAAGGUAACAGUGGGCUUCUUGAAACCACCAGGCAGUAGCUAUCUCCAGGAUCUGACUACUUGAGAGUGUAUCUGCUGAACAUAACAGGAAAGUGGUUCAUUAAACCUUUGCAGUAAAAGAAAUAUUGUUGAAAUAUAAUAAGCAGAUUUACCAUUUUUGGAAUGAUACUAACACCUCUUGACAGCCAAACUGACAGGAUUAGAGGCUAAGAAGUGCAAACCAGGCAGGUUAGCUUCAGUGUUAAGGAAAUAUUUUUGGGCAUUAACAAAGAAAUGCUAAAGUAUAAUAUGAUAUUAUGCAGCAUGGCUUAUAUCUCACAAUAAGACGUUUUCUAACAGAGUCUCUAGUAUGGCAUAAGACGUAGGAAUGCCUUUCACAAAGUAUCCCAUGGUUUACUUAGCAGGUUAUCGGAACGGGAACUGAACCUAAAUACAUAAACUUGAAAGUGAUUGUUGAAGAGAAGUUUGGAAAGCUGUGGUAAACUGCUGGUACAUUGGGAAAGCAGGGGUAGCAAGUAGAAUGCUGCUGCAGUAGUGUAGUAACGCUAAGAGUAAAAGAUACUGUCAGUAUAAUUUAAUUGUUUAAAAAUACAGAUAAUGAAUGUACAUAAUAUAAACCAAAACACUACAAAUGGGAAGUGGUAAAAUUGUCUCUUUUUUUAAUUUAUAUUUUACUUACUGUGUUUGUAACCUAUGGAAAGGCCUAUUUUACAAGAGGGCCUAAGAAACAAGAUCUCCAAGAGAACUCGUUUUGUAACAGUCAAUAAAACAUACCCAAGUUAAGACAA